rnacentral:lncRNA from 10 species
CAGAUUUAUGUUUCCGUAGUGUGGGAGCUUUGUUCUUUCACUGUUUGCGGUGCCAUUCCAUAUAAAGUGAAGGAUAACGGCUACAGCAUUUUUUGUUAGACUUGGACAAUGUUGAAUGUACUACAGAAGCAUACUUUAAGGAUAUCUCUCUGUCGGCUAGGCUGGAGUGUAGUGGUGUGAUCAUCAUGGCUCACUGUGGCCUCAAACUCCUACUAUGGACAGGAGACAGGGAAAUACUGGGUAGAAGAGGACAGUUCCCCAGCAAAGGCCCCACCCUCAAGCCUGGAUACCCAUGGCCCUAAAUGGGAACAGGCAUUUCUGUUUUUGCACCCCAAAAGUUGACUUUUGGCCCACAUGCUCCCUAUCCUGUACCCAUAUAAACCCCAAAUUCCAGGCUCCAGAGAGAGACAAGGAGAUGAGGAGACAAGCAGACGAACAGCGGAACAAUGCAGCAGAGAAAGAGAGAAGAGAAGGAACGUCUGAACGUCGAGAGGAGUUCGGCUGCUGGACGGCCAAACUCCAGGGGAAGAUCAUCUUCCCACUCCAUUCCCCCUCCAGCUCCCCAUCCAUCCCACUGAGAGCCACUUCCACCACUCAAUAAAAGCCCCACAUUUAUCCUUCAAGUCCAUGUGUGAUCCAAUUCUUCUGGGAUGCUAAACAAGAACCUGGGAUACAGAAAGCUGUCACACUGGCCCUCUGCCCUUGCAGAAAGGCAGAGGGGCCCUGAGCUGGUUGAUACUUAAGCUGUCUGUGGAUGGCAGAACUAAAAGAGCAUUGG